CCUACGGGUGGCAGCAGUGAGGAAUUUUGGUCAAUGGGCGUAAGCCUGAUCCAGCCAAGUCGCGUGCGGGAUGAAGGUUCUCUGGACCGUAAACCUCUUUUAUAAGGGAGUAAAGUGUGGGACGUGUCCUGUUUUGUAUGUACCUUAUGUAUAAGGAUCGGCUAACUCCGUGCCAGCAGCCGCGGUAAUACGGAGGGUACGAGCGUUAUCCGGAUUUAUUGGGGUUAAAGGGUGCGUAGGCGGGCUUUUAAGUCAGCGGUGAAAGUCUGUGGCUCAACCAUAGCAGUGCAGUUGAAACUGGGAGGCUUGAGUGUGUAAGAGGCAUGCGGAAUGCGUGUUGUAGCGGUGAAAUGCUUAGAUAUCACGCAGAACCCCGAUGGCGAAGGCAGCCUGCCAGGCCAUGACUGACGCUGAUGCACGAAAGCGUGGGGAUCAAACAGGAUUAGAUACCCCUGUAGUC
rnacentral:rRNA from 1 species